rnacentral:rRNA from 1 species
ACAAACGCUGGCGGCGUGUCUUAAGCAUGCAAGUUGAGCGGCAAGGAGGAGAGAUCCUCCCUAGAGCAGCGGACUGGUGAGUAACGCGUGGGUAAUCUAUCUUAGGCAUGGGAUAGUCACUAGAAAUAGUGGGUAAUACCGAAUAAGUUCCAUAAGGGGAGGACUUAUGGAAGAAAGGUGCUACGGCACUGGCCUUAGGUGAGCUCGCGUCCCAUUAGCUAGUUGGUGAGGUAAAGGCCCACCAAGGCGAUGAUGGGUAGCCGGCCUGAGAGGGUGUACGGCCACACUGGGACUGAGAUACGGCCCAGACUCCUACGGGAGGCAGCAGCUAAGAAUAUUCCGCAAUGGACGGAAGUCUGACGGAGCGACGCCGCGUGGAUGAAGAAGGCCGAAAGGUUGUAAAGUUCUUUUGCUAGGGGAGAAUAAGUGUGGGAGGGAAUGCCUGCACGAUGACAAGGACUAGCGAAUAAGUCCCGGCCAACUACGUG